rnacentral:rRNA from 1 species
CACGUAGGGCGCAAGCGUUGUCCGGAAUUAUUGGGCGUAAAGAGCUCGUAGGCGGUCUGUUGCGUCCGCUGUGAAAACUCGGGGCUUAACCCCGAGCCUGCAGUGGAUACGGGCAGACUAGAGGUAGGUAGGGGAGAAUGGAAUUCCCGGUGUAGCGGUGAAAUGCGCAGAUAUCGGGAGGAACACCGGUGGCGAAGGCGGUUCUCUGGGCAGUAACUGACGCUGAGGAGCGAAAGCGUGGGGAGCGAACAGG